UACGUAGGCAGCGGGCGUUGUUCGGAAUUACUGGGCGUAAAGAGUGUGUAGGCGGUGCUCUAAGUUCGGUGUGAAAUCUCCUGGCUUAACUGGGAGGGUGCGCCGGAAACUGGAGUGCUUGAGCGUGGGAGAGGAAAGCGGAAUUCCUGGUGUAGCGGUGAAAUGCGUAGAUAUCAGGAGGAACACCUGUGGUGUAGACGGCUUUCUGGACCAUUGCUGACGCUGAGACACGAAAGCGUGGGUAGCAAACAGG
rnacentral:rRNA from 1 species